rnacentral:rRNA from 1 species
UACAGGGGGGGCAAGCGUUGUUCGGAAUUACUGGGCGUAAAGGGCUCGUAGGCGGCCAACUAAGUCAGACGUGAAAUCCCUCGGCUUAACCGGGGAACUGCGUCUGAUACUGGAUGGCUUGAGGUUGGGAGAGGGAUGCGGAAUUCCAGGUGUAGCGGUGAAAUGCGUAGAUAUCUGGAGGAACACCGGUGGCGAAGGCGGGUCUCUGGACAGUUCCUGACGCUGAGGCACGAAGGUCAGGGGAGCAAACGGG